rnacentral:rRNA from 1 species
AUACGAAGGGUGCAAACGUUGUUCGGAAUCACUGGGCGUAAAGCGCGCGUAGGCGGUUUAGUCAGUCGGAUGUGAAAGCCCAGGGCUCAACCUUGGAAUUGCAUUCGAUACUGCUUGACUAGAGUAUGGUAGAGGGAAGUGGAAUUUCCGGUGUAGCGGUGAAAUGCGUAGAUAUCGGAAGGAACACCAGUGGCGAAGGCGACUUCCUGGGCCAGUACUGACGCUGAGGUGCGAAAGCGUGGGGAGCAAACAGGAUUAGACACCCCGGUAGUCC